UACAGACCAAGUUGUUAAGAGCUAUUGGCGGAUGCCUUGCCAUUGACAGGCGAUGAAGGAUGCGUUUACCUGCAGUAAUCUUCGGUGAGCUGGUAUAGAGCUAUGACCCGGAGGUAUCCGAAUGGGGCAACCCGAUAGACUAAUAGUCUAUCAUUAUAUGUUGAAUACAUAGGCAUAUAAGGCGACACCCGCUGAACUGAAACAUCUUAGUAAGCGGAGGAAAAGAAAUCAAAGAGAUUCCCUGUGUAGCGGCGAGCGAAAGGGGAACAGCCUAAACCAUAUUUUUAAUAUGGGGUUGUAGGGUCGACAACAUGGGAUCUUAAGUUUUAGUUGAAUACUUCUGGAAAGUUGAACGAUACAGGGUGAUAGUCCCGUAAACGAAAAAACAAAAGACGCUAAUCGAUACCUGAGUAGGGCUAGACACGUGAAACCUAGUCUGAAUCUGGGGAGACCACUCUCCAAGGCUAAAUACUAGUCAAUGACCUAUAGUGAACCAGUACUGUGAAGGAAAGGUGAAAAGAACCCUUGUUAAGGGAGUGAAAUAGAACCUGAAACCAGUAGCUUAUAAGCGGUCGGAGACCUAUAACUCUUCGGAGUAAUGGUUGACGGCGUGCCUUUU
rnacentral:rRNA from 1 species